UGUAAUCUAUAUAAAGGGAGGUUCGAAAGGAAGUAAUUUAUCAUAUAAACAACUUUGUUUUCGAAGUUUAUUCAACACUUUUUUAAAAACAAUGGCAUCUUUGAAGUUUUUCAUCUGCAUAUUCUUUUUAUUUAUAGCUGACAUCUAUGUCGAAGGAGCUGUUGAUCGAUUGUCAACUACCGUCGACAUUAAUAUCAAUGCGUUUCCUUGCUCUGCGGUUUCACUGUGCUCAAAUGGAUGUUGCUUGUGCUUCGAGUCCUCAUGCCUGAAAUGUUGUGCCGCGAAAGAGAUUAUUACAAACUCCUUUGGGAUUGAUGCGACCAAACCUUAAUGAUGGAUGGUUCAGCAGGGCAUGGCAAUAUUGAUCUACAACCAUGUUUGUUCUUAAACUUUAUAUGUUUAUUUUGAUGGGAAAAUGCUUCAUGUACCUGCAUUAAUUUAUUCUAUUGGAAGAAUAAAAAUAUAAUAAAAUAAUUAUUGAUGGA